rnacentral:rRNA from 1 species
GAUGAACGCUGGCGGCGUGCCUAAUACAUGCAAGUCGAGCGAACAGACGAGGAGCUUGCUCCUCUGACGUUAGCGGCGGACGGGUGAGUAACACGUGGAUAACCUACCUAUAAGACUGGGAUAACUUCGGGAAACCGGAGCUAAUACCGGAUAAUAUAUUGAACCGCAUGGUUCAAUAGUGAAAGACGGUUUUGCUGUCACUUAUAGAUGGAUCCGCGCCGCAUUAGCUAGUUGGUAAGGUAACGGCUUACCAAGGCUACGAUGCGUAGCCGACCUGAGAGGGUGAUCGGCCACACUGGAACUGAGACACGGUCCAGACUCCUACGGGAGGCAGCAGUAGGGAAUCUUGCGCAAUGGGCGAAAGCCUGACGGAGCAACGCCGCGUGAGUGAUGAAGGUCUUCGGAUCGUAAAACUCUGUUAUUAGGGAAGAACAAAUGUGUAAGUAACUAUGCACGUCUUGACGGUACCUAAUCAGAAAGCCACGGCUAACUACGUG